rnacentral:tRNA from 1 species
GCCUAAUGUGUCAGGUAGAGCAUGGGACUCUUAAUCCCAGGGUCGUGGGUUUGAGCCCCACAUUGGGCG